UACGUAGGAGGCAAGCGUUGUCCGGAAUUACUGGGCGUAAAGCGCACGUAGGCGGACUUUCAAGUCAGGGGUGAAAUCCCGGAGCUCAACUUCGGAAUUGCCUUUGAUACUGUUGGUCUCGAGUCCGGAAGAGGUGGGUGGAAUUCCUAGUGUAGAGGUGAAAUUCGUAGAUAUUAGGAAGAACACGGUGGCGAAGGCGGCCCACUGGUCCGGUACUGACGCUGAGGUGCGAAAGCGUGGGGAGCAAACAGG
rnacentral:rRNA from 1 species